rnacentral:rRNA from 1 species
GAGUUUGAUCAUGGCUCAGAUUGAACGCUGGCGGCAUGCCUUACACAUGCAAGUCGAACGGCAGCAUGAUCUAGCUUGCUAGAUUGAUGGCGAGUGGCGAACGGGUGAGUAAUACAUCGGAACGUGCCCUGUAGUGGGGGAUAACUAGUCGAAAGAUUAGCUAAUACCGCAUACGACCUGAGGGUGAAAGUGGGGGACCGCAAGGCCUCAUGCUAUAGGAGCGGCCGAUGUCUGAUUAGCUAGUUGGUGGGGUAAAGGCCCACCAAGGCGACGAUCAGUAGCUGGUCUGAGAGGACGAUCAGCCACACUGGGACUGAGACACGGCCCAGACUCCUACGGGAGGCAGCAGUGGGGAAUUUUGGACAAUGGGGGCAACCCUGAUCCAGCAAUGCCGCGUGUGUGAAGAAGGCCUUCGGGUUGUAAAGCACUUUUGUCCGGAAAGAAAUCGCACUUACUAAUAUUAGGUGUGGAUGACGGUACCGGAAGAAUAAGGACCGGCUAACUACGUGCCAGCAGCCGCGGUAAUACGUAGGGUCCAAGCGUUAAUCGGAAUUACUGGGCGUAAAGCGUGCGCAGGCGGUUGCGCAAGACCGAUGUGAAAUCCCCGGGCUUAACCUGGGAAUUGCAUUGGUGACUGCACGGCUAGAGUGUGUCAGAGGGGGGUAGAAUUCCACGUGUAGCAGUGAAAUGCGUAGAGAUGUGGAGGAAUACCGAUGGCGAAGGCAGCCCCCUGGGAUAACACUGACGCUCAUGCACGAAAGCGUGGGGAGCAAACAGGAUUAGAUACCCUGGUAGUCCACGCCCUAAACGAUGUCAACUAGUUGUUGGGGAUUCAUUUCCUUAGUAACGUAGCUAACGCGUGAAGUUGACCGCCUGGGGAGUACGGUCGCAAGAUUAAAACUCAAAGGAAUUGACGGGGACCCGCACAAGCGGUGGAUGAUGUGGAUUAAUUCGAUGCAACGCGAAAAACCUUACCUACCCUUGACAUGCCACUAACGAAGCAGAGAUGCAUUAGGUGCUCGAAAGAGAAAGUGGACACAGGUGCUGCAUGGCUGUCGUCAGCUCGUGUCGUGAGAUGUUGGGUUAAGUCCCGCAACGAGCGCAACCCUUGUCUCUAGUUGCUACGAAAGGGCACUCUAGAGAGACUGCCGGCGACAAACCGGAGGAAGGUGGGGAUGACGUCAAGUCCUCAUGGCCCUUAUGGGUAGGGCUUCACACGUCAUACAAUGGUGCAUACAGAGGGUUGCCAAGCCGCGAGGUGGAGCUAAUCCCAGAAAAUGCAUCGUAGUCCGGAUCGUAGUCUGCAACUCGACUACGUGAAGCUGGAAUCGCUAGUAAUCGCGGAUCAGCAUGCCGCGGUGAAUACGU